GAUCCUGGCUCAGGAUGAACGCUAGCUACAGGCUUAACACAUGCAAGUCGAGGGGAACACAUCGAAAGCUGCUUUGAUGGGCGUCGACCGGCGCACGGGUGAGUAACGCGUAUCCAACCUGCCCAUCACUUGGGAAUAACCUUGCGAAAGAAGACUAUGCCCAAUGAUAUCCCACGAAGGCAUCCGAAUGGGAUUAAAGAUUUAUCGGUGAUGGAUGGGGAUGCGU
rnacentral:rRNA from 1 species